CUGUGGUUUUUUUUUUUUUUUUUUUUUUUUAAUAAUAGCAUCACAGACUGGUGAGGGGACCUUGUUACCUAGGCAACUGGAUUUGUGGCUUGUGUUUCUUCAGCAUCAAAUGGAUACUCGGCUCAAUUUGCUCAAACAUUUGUAGUGUUGUUUCUAUGAGGCAGGAGGAAGUUGGACCUCAAGAAAUGAGAAAGGCUUGAGCAAGAGUGGAUUUUGAGGAUGACUUCCCUAGCUCUCGAGAGUUAACCUGGACGUGCUCAUUGCCUG
rnacentral:lncRNA from 1 species